rnacentral:rRNA from 1 species
UGGGGAAUCUUCCGCAAUGGACGAAAGUCUGACGGAGCAACGCCGCGUGAGUGAUGACGGCCUUCGGGUUGUAAAGCUCUGUUAAUCGGGACGAAUGGUUCUUGUGCGAAUAGUGCAAGGAUUUGACGGUACCGGAAUAGAAAGCCACGGCUAACUACGUGCCAGCAGCCGCGGUAAUACGUAGGUGGCAAGCGUUGUCCGGAAUUAUUGGGCGUAAAGCGCGCGCAGGCGGAUUGGUCAGUCUGUCUUAAAAGUUCGGGGCUUAACCCCGUGAUGCGAUGGAAACUGCCAAUCUAGAGUAUCGGAGAGGAAAGUGGAAUUCCUAGUGUAGCGGUGAAAUGCGUAGAUAUUAGGAAGAACACCAGUGGCGAAGGCGACUUUCUGGACGAAAACUGACGCUGAGGCGCGAAAGCCAGGGGAGCGAACGGG